rnacentral:rRNA from 1 species
AGAAUCAACGCUGGCGGCGUGCCUAACACAUGCAAGUCGAACGAGAAAGUGGAGCAAUCCACGAGUAAAGUGGCGCACGGGUGAGUAACACGUGACUAACCUACCCUUGAGUGGGGAAUAACUGAGGGAAACCUUAGCUAAUACCGCAUAAUACCUACGGGUCAAAGCAGCAAUGCGCUUGAAGAGGAGUUCGCGGCAGAUUAGUUAGUUGGCGGGGUAAUGGCCCACCAAGACGAUGAUCUGUA